GUCUGUCUAGCUCAGUCGGUAGAGCGUAAGGCUCUUAACCUUGUGGUCCUGGGUUUAAGUCCCAGGGUGGGCG
rnacentral:tRNA from 1 species